CACACACACACACACACACACGAGACCCCUCCUUUUGCUCUGCCCCUGCCAUGAGCAUUGCCCUUCUGUGCUGUGUGGUCUCCUGUCUCCUGCAGGCAGGUCUGCUAGAUGCUGGUGUUACUCAGACACCCACAUACCAGAUCUUGAGGACAGGACUGAAUGUGACAUUGGAAUGUACUCAAGAUAUGAACCAUGAUGGAAUGUACUGGUAUCGACAAGACCCAGGUCAUGGGUUGAGACUGCUCCAUUACUCAGUUGGUGCUGGUAUCACUGACAAAGGAGAGGUCCCUGAUGGCUACAGGGUCUCCAGGCCAGAUACAGAGAGCUUCCCCCUCACACUGGAGUCAGCUAUACCCUCCCAGACAUCUGUGUAUUUCUGUGCCAGCAGUGUAUCCACAGCGCUGCCCCACCACCUCCCCUCUGCACAAGAAGUCAGGGAGGCCCUGCACCUGGGGCUCAGUGAGUCCAGGGCUGCUCAGCCAGGCAGGGGGCUGCCCCCAGAGCCUCAGUAG